rnacentral:rRNA from 1 species
AGGAUGAACGCUAGCGGCAGGCCUAACACAUGCAAGUCGAGGGGUAGAAGGAGCUUGCUCCUUUGAGACCGGCGCACGGGUGCGUAACGCGUAUGCAAUCUACCUUGUACAGGGGAAUAGCCCAGAGAAAUUUGGAUUAAUGCCCCAUAGUAUAUAACCUUCGCAUGUUGGUUAUAUUAAAGUUCCAACGGUACAAGAUGAGCAUGCGUCCCAUUAGUUAGUUGGUAAGGUAACGGCUUACCAAGACGAUGAUGGGUAGGGGUCCUGAGAGGGAGAUCCCCCCACACUGGUACUGAGACACGGACCAGACUCCUACGGGAGGCAGCAGUGAGGAAUAUUGGUCAAUGGUCGCAAGACUGAACCAGCCAUGCCGCGUGCAGGAAGACGGUCCUAUGGAUUGUAAACUGCUUUUAUACAGGAAGAAACCCUCCCACGUGUGGGAGCUUGACGGUACUGUAGGAAUAAGGAUCGGCUAACUCCGUG